GCUCAGUUGGUAGAGUACAAAGCUCUUAACCUUGUGGACAUGGGUUCGAGCCCCAU
rnacentral:tRNA from 1 species